rnacentral:tmRNA from 1 species
GGGGCUGACUUGAAUUUCGACAAGAUUUAAUAGGCUAUUGUUGCAUGCCAACUUGCGCUAAGUUGUAAAACCGGCGCACUAAAUAUAAACGCAAAUAAUACAAAUUACGCUCCAGCCUACGCUAAAGCUGCGUAGUCUUAUCCAUUUUUGGAGCUGUUUUAGGUAAGGAUUCUAGCUACUUAUUUAAAGCAUCAUCACUGCUAGAUGCGGCUUUUGCACUGCCUAGUGCAGAGAUUAAGAUUCUUAGGCUUUGUGCUUUGCUUCUUUUAGACUUUUUGCAAAGAGCGAGAUUUUAAAGUCUAAAAAGCAUGUAAUUCGGCGGUAGCAAACUUUAAGUUUUGGACUGGGGUUUGAUUCCCCACAGCUCCACCA